rnacentral:rRNA from 1 species
GAUGAACGCUGGCGGCGUGCCUAAUACAUGCAAGUCGAGCGAACGGGCGUGAAGCUUUCUUCUCUGAUGUUAGCGGCGGACGGGUGAGUAACACGUGGAUAACCUACCUAUUAUACUGGGAUAACUUCGGGAAACCGUAGCUAAUACCGGAUGAUAUUUUGAACCGCAUGGUUCAAAAGUGAAAGACGCUCUUGCUGUCACUUAUAGAUGGAUCCGCGUUGCAUUAGCUAGUUGGUAAGGUAACGGCUUACCAAGGCAACGAUGCAUAGCCGACCUGAGAGGGUGAUCAGCCACACUGGAACUGAGACACGGUCCAGACUCCUACGGGAGGCAGCAGUAGGGAAUAUUCCGCAAUGGGCGAAAGCCUGACGGAGCAACGCCGCGUGAGUGAUGAAGGUCUUCGGAUCGUAAAACUCUGUUAUUAGGGAAGAAAAGAUGUGUAAGAAAAUGUGCACAUCUUGACGGUACCUAAUCAGAAAGCAACGGCUAACUACGUG